GGCCAGCAAAGCCCUGCUGGUCUUACAUGCCAAAUAAAUAGAUGCAUGAUGCACCAUUCAGUUAUUUUAGUUUCUGAAAACCCCUGGUACCACAGUGCACAUCAUGUUGCACUUUAUACCACUGCAGUUUAUGCCCUUCCCUGAAGCCAACCACCAAGAAAAAAAUAAACCUACACUGGGAAGGGCAUUUAAAAAAAGCAGUUGUUUUCCAAGGCAAAAGAAUAUGUUGUUGCCAUUUGCCCUGUAGAACUGAGGCUCAUUACCAUUGUCCCAAUUGCAGCAAAACUGUUCUGAGGAGAUAUGUAAUGGAAGCUCACUUAAAAAUAUGCGCAUCAAAUG